AACGAACGCUGGCGGCAGGCCUAACACAUGCAAGUCGAACGCUCGUAGCAAUACGAGAGUGGCAGACGGGUGAGUAACACGUGGGAACCUUCCCUAUGGUUCGGAAUAGCCCAGGGAAACUUGGGGUAAUACCGGAUAAGCCCUUACGGGGAAAGAUUUAUCGCCAUUGGAUGGGCCCGCGUCGGAUUAGCUAGUUGGUGGGGUAACGGCUCACCAAGGCGACGAUCCGUAGCUGGUCUGAGAGGAUGAUCAGCCACACUGGGACUGAGACACGGCCCAGACUCCUACGGGAGGCAGCAGUGGGGAAUAUUGGACAAUGGGCGCAAGCCUGAUCCAGCCAUGCCGCGUGAGUGACGAAGGCCUUAGGGUUGUAAAGCUCUUUUGGCGGGGAAGAUAAUGACGGUACCCGCAGAAUAAGCUCCGGCCAACUUCGUGCCAGCCGCCGCAGUAAAAC
rnacentral:rRNA from 1 species